ensembl:lincRNA
CUGGGGGCUGUUGCUCUCGGAGCUAUACCCGGGAGGAACCUGCGUGUGAAUGAGACCGCUGUCAGCAAGCCUACACUCAGAGGAUUUACCCGGUGCAGAGAGCUCCAAGAGAACACCAGAGCCCCUGGUAUUCUGGUUCACUUGAAUUUGUCCUCCUGCCUAUUCCAUAUUUUUUUCACACAUACAAUCAUUUGUUUGCAGUCUGGAAAUAUAAAACCAUUCAAGAAAUGGAGGCCCAACUAUUGGCUUCCCGAUUAUUCUACAAACUCUAUGAAAUCCUUGUUCUUCGUUGCACAAUUAGCUGUGAAACAGACAGAGGUUACCUACAAUAAGUGCAUGUCAUUUUGGACUAGCCAUAUUUCAAGGGCUUAGUAUGGCUAGUGGCCACCAUAUUGGACAUUGACGGUCGAACCCAAUUCACAUUCCCCUGACAACUACGCUUGGUGUGAGGCCUCUGAUGGCCCAACUAGGCUGACAGCAAAGAUCUUUCCUGUUGGAAGAUCAUCAUUCUCUCUCCUGCUGGCAAAAACAAGAAAGAAUAAAGGUCUGAUUAACCCAUGAGCCUUCUUGGGAUUUAUGAGAGGAACCAGGCUUUGGAUGAACGUGACAUUGAAAUGAGCAGGAUGGAAAGAAAAAUCCUAGGGGUUUGGUGACCAUACUGGGCUGCUGAUUAAACAUGGAGUUUGCCCUGACUCUGAACUUUCCUUUUAGUGAGAUGAUAAUUGUCCCAAUUGUUUAAACUAGCUUGUGUUGCUUCCAGCUAAAAGAGUGCCAACUAUAUACAAUGUGCAAGCUGACAUGUUGUCAUGCUCUGACCCUGAUGAACACAUCCCCACAAGGCUGUGACGUAGUAGGCGAAGAACUAACAUGCAUGGGAUUGGAAGGGAG